rnacentral:rRNA from 1 species
CCUACGGGGGGCUGCAGUGGGGAAUAUUGGACAAUGGGGGCAACCCUGAUCCAGCCAUGCCGCGUGUGUGAAGAAGGCCCUCGGGUUGUAAAGCACUUUCAGUGAGGAAGAACGCCUGGUGGUUAAUACCCAUCAGGAAAGACAUCACUCACAGAAGAAGCACCGGCUAACUCCGUGCCAGCAGCCGCGGUAAUACGGAGGGUGCGAGCGUUAAUCGGAAUUACUGGGCGUAAAGCGCGCGUAGGUGGCUUGAUAAGCCGGUUGUGAAAGCCCCGGGCUCAACCUGGGAACGGCAUCCGGAACUGUCAAGCUAGAGUGCAGGAGAGGAAGGUAGAAUUCCCGGUGUAGCGGUGAAAUGCGUGGAGAUCGGGAGGAAUACCAGUGGCGAAGGCGGCCUUCUGGACUGACACUGACACUGAGGUGCGAAAGCGUGGGUAGCAAACAGGAUUAGAUACCCCAGUAGUC